CGGGAUGUAGCGCAGGUAGCGCACCUGGCUGGGGGCCAGGGGGUCGCAGGUUCAAAUCCUGUCAUCCCGGC
rnacentral:tRNA from 1 species